GUGCCUAAUAAUCUGCACGUUUUCCUCGAGUUUAACCCUUCCAGACAUUCAGACUGGACUUUUCAGAUCGAAGAACACGUACAUGUUUUCCGCCCAAAAUGCAAGUGGGUGGAGUGGAGGAUCAAGCAAGUAGCGAAUUCAGACAUCUCCCUUUACAAGUGGAGGUGCAACGUGAUCAUGGACCAACAGGAAAACGAACGAACGAACGAAACGAACGAACGAAACAGGCAACGCCGCCGAUCAUACAACUACAAAGACCCAAAAAAAAAACGGUGAAUGGUGACGAGACGACUAGUCGACGAGUCCUGCUUGAAUGAACACUGCUGCAUGUGCGCGAAACAGAGGAGGGGACGAUGGUCAGCCUUCGAUGAAGCCGGUGACGCGCAGCACGGAGUCGCGCAGGUGGCUGAGCUCGCGCGCGCCCGGCCGCAGCAGCGCGCACGGCGCCUCCUGCCGCCGCCGCGACACCAGCACGUGAGGCGGCACCAUCGUCGCGGCGCUCCAGUCGCGGUCGCGGUCCCCGUCCUCGUGGCCACGGCGCCUGGCCGAGCUCGCGGGCCUCUGGAUGUCCACCGGCCGCGAGCCCGCACGCGUCGUCGUCGUCGGCCUCUCGCUCCCAGGGACGCCGCCUCGCGGUCGCGGAGCCGGAGCCGGCGUUCUGGACCGCGGCGCCACGGGCGGCGACGAGCUGCAGCUGGGCGUCGCGUCGUCGCCGUCUCCCUCGUCGUGGGCCGUCUCAGGCCACAGCACCUCGCGCUCGCACAGCUCCUCCGCGCUCGCCAUUGCGGCCGAUGGACUCGCUCCCGCUCAGCGCGCGGUUCGGGGUUGCUCUGCUGUCUGGAGGAGUCUGGGAGGUGGAAUGGACAAAGAGGUUCUCG
rnacentral:misc_RNA from 1 species